rnacentral:rRNA from 1 species
GCGAGGCAGAGNAAACCCCUAAAAGACCAUCCCAGUUCGGAUUGCAGGCUGCAACCCGCCUGUAUGAAGUUGGAAUCGCUAGUAAUCGCGGAUCAGCAUGCCGCGGUGAAUACGUUCCCGGGCCUUGUACACACCGCCCGUCACACCAUGAGAGUCGGGAACACCCGAAGUCCGUAGCCUAACCGCAAGGAGGGCGCCGCCGAAGGUGGGAUUGAUGACUGGGGUGAAGUCGUAACAAGGUACC